UACGUAGGGUCCGAGCGUUGUCCGGAAUUACUGGGCGUAAAGAGCUCGUAGGUGGUUUGUCGCGUUGUUCGUGAAAACUCACAGCUCAACUGUGGGCGUGCGGGCGAUACGGGCAGACUAGAGUACUGCAGGGGAGACUGGAAUUCCAGGUGUAGCGGUGAAAUGCGUAGAUAUCUGGAGGAACACCGGUGGCGAAGGCGGCAUCCUGGACCGGCAUUGACGCUGAGGAGCGAAAGCCAGGGGAGCAAACGGG
rnacentral:rRNA from 1 species